AUUGAACGCUGGCGGCAUGCUUUACACAUGCAAGUCGAACGGCAGCGGGGGCUUCGGCCUGCCGGCGAGUGGCGAACGGGUGAGUAAUGCAUCGGAACGUGCCCAUGUCGUGGGGGAUAACGUAUCGAAAGGUACGCUAAUACCGCAUACGCCCUGAGGGGGAAAGCGGGGGAUUCUUCGGAACCUCGCGCGAUUGGAGCGGCCGAUGUCGGAUUAGCUAGUAGGUGAGGUAAAGGCUCACCUAGGCGACGAUCCGUAGCGGGUCUGAGAGGAGGAGCCGCCACACUGGGGCUGAUAAACGGCCCAGACUCCUACGGGAGGCAGCAGUGGGGAAUUGUGAACUAUGGGCGCAAGCCUGAUCCAGCCAGGCCGCGUAGGUGAAGAAGGCCUUCGGGUUGUAAAGCUCUUUCGGCCGGGAAGAAAUCGUGUUCUCUAACAUAGUACAUGGAUGACGGUACCGGACUAAGAAGCACCGGCUAACUACGUGCCAACAGCCGCCGCCG
rnacentral:rRNA from 1 species